rfam:Myotis davidii contig193568, whole genome shotgun sequence.
GGCGGUUCUUGGGUGACACACCCUGGAAUCGGACUCUCUCCUCUUGUACCGGGGUGCAUCACCUGAGAGCUGCC